GGGGGAGGCUUUUUCCCAGAGACAACUCUCCCUCUAGAGGCCUACCUUCCUGGAGUCACCCUGUAGGGGGAGGCUUUUUCCCAGAGACAACUCUCCCUCUAGAGGCCUACCUUCCUGGAAGUAAUCGCAGAUCGGGGAUUGGUUGGACAGGUGGAAGUAAUCCCAGAUCGGGGAUUGGUUGGACAGGUGGAAGUAAUCGCAGAUCGGGGAUUGGUUGGACAGGUGGAAGUAAUCCCAGAUUGGGGAUUGGUUGGACAGGUGGAAGUAAUCCCAGAUUGGGGAUUGGUUGGACAGGUGGAAGUAAAUGCAGAUUGAGGAUUGGUUGGACAGGUGGAAGUAAUCCCAGAUUGGGGAUUGGUUGGACAGGUGGAAGUAAUCCCAGAUUGGGGAUUGGUUGGACAGGUGGAAGUAAUCCCAGAUCGGGGAUUGGUUGGACAGGUGGAAGUAUUCCCAGAUUGAGGAUUGGUUGGACAGGUGGAAGUAUUCCCAGAUUGAGGAUUGGUUGGACAGGUAAAGUAAUAGUGUGGUCUCCUUGUUUCCACUGAUACAAAUCACUUCCAGGUACCCUGCUCACCUCAGGGAAACAGGGACGCAUUUCUACAGUAUUGAAGCAGGGCCUGAGCUUUAGCUGUGUUGCUAUGGAAACCAGUCCAGGUGUGAAGUUAGGUUUUAAAACAAGAAGACACACAACAGGACUGUUUGGAUCAGGAGUCUGACAUGGCACCCUGUUCUGUGGUAGUGCACUACAUUGGAGCAGAGGGCCCUGUUUACAAAGGUAGUGCACUACAUUGGAGCAGAGGGCCCUGUUUACAAAGGUAGUGCACUACAUUGGAGCAGAGGGCCCUGUUUACAAAGGUAGUGCACUACAUUGGAGCAGAGGGCCCUGUUUACAAAGGUAGUGCACUACAUUGGAGCAGAGGGCCCUGUUUACAAAGGUAGUGCACUACAUUGGAGCAGAGGGCCCUGUUUACAAAGGUAGUGCACUACAUUGGAGCAGAGGGCCCUGUUUACAAAGGUAGUGCACUACAUUGGAGCAGAGGGCCCUGUUUACAAAGGUAGUGCACUACAUUGGAGCAGAGGGCCCUGUUUACAAAGGUAGUGCACUACAGUGGAGCAUAGGGCCCU